rnacentral:lncRNA from 1 species
CUAUACAUAUGCUUUGAUUGCAGAUAAUUACAACACAUUUCCCAUUAUUUCCACAUAACAUUCAGGAAGCUCUCUUUUCAUGAUUCAGAGUUUCCUCUUUCAGGGCUGCCCCUCCUCUGAGUUUAUUUGUGGAUGUCAAGGCUGGAUUUUUACACAAUACUUGCCCAUGGUGACCAUAGAUCCACGGUUUCUCCCUAGUUUAGUUGACUUCUGUUGUUGAAAGGAUACAUUAGGAAUGAAGGCAUCUCCACACUCAUAUAAUAUAUAGAAUUUCUCCUCCAUGUGAGUUCUCUAGUGUUCAUGAAGUUUAAAACUAUGACUGAAGGCUUUUUACAUAUUUAUUACAUUUAUAAUGGUGAGUUCUUCCAUGUUCUUUAAUUUUAAAAAAAUGACUGUGAUUUUAGUAUGCCAUUCGUGUAAUUUUUUUCCUAUUAUUUCUUUUGUGAAAAUAAAUGUGAGUGCUCAGUGAAAUACGAAAUGUUUCCACAGUAUCUUGUACUUUAUUCUCAUAAUUAAUCUAAUAAACAUAAGCUUAAUCAGAACAAACAAGCUUUUAUUCUGGGAAAAACAAAAAGCAAACAAAUGAAAAACAAAAUGCCUGUUUUUACUACUCAAACCCUAGCCUAGUGCUUAGAACAGAAUUGCCAGUUAGUAAAAAUUUAAUCCACAAAUGUAUUCAUUCAAAAAAUAGUCACCAAGUCUCCAGCACUCAGUGUUCUCCCUGUUGAAGCUCAAGUAGUAAGGAAGACAUGAAAUUGUGGUCAGGAACACUGUAUUCUAGUGAGUGACACACUAGAUAUAAGUAAACAAGGAAAAAAAUCUUUAAGUAGCUGUAAGUGCUCUGAAGGAUCAUGGAUGAGGGUGGAGAGUGGAGUGUUGUGUGGUGCUGUUCUGGACAUUUGGAUAAGUACAUCAGUGUUGAGACUUACCCACUGGGCCCAUGUGACAUUUACUGUCAUCUCCUAACCUUCUUGAGCAGGAACAUAUCAACAUGAUAAUUUAUGCAUGAAAGCAUUUUCCAACAGUAAAAUACUUUAUAAGAUGAUGCUAAUAAUUAGAGGUAGUGCCUGGAAAAAUAAUGAAAAUGAGUCAUGAAUAGGGAUUAGAUUACAACCCUUUGAUGGAGGUCCUAGAAAGACUGAAUGGGGAAAAUGGGGGGAUAUUGGCCAUAAGGAGAUAAAUUUCCAGUUAUAAGACAAGUUCUGGGUAUUUAAUAUAUAGCAUAGUGACUGUAGUUAACACCAUACUGUAUACUCAAAUUUACUAAGAGAAUAUAUAUUAAGUGUUCUUACCUCAUCCUUACACAAAGGUAAUAGAUGUACUAACUAGCUUGAUUACAGUGAUCAUUUCACAAAGUCUAUGUAUAUCAAAUCAUCACAUAGUACACUUUAUGUACACAAUUUUCAUUUGUCAAUUACAUCUCAAUAAAGAUGGUAAAAAGUUUUUUUUGAGGACAAAUCUUGUUAAGAGUAGAACAGUCUGGCAUAUUUUAAAAUGGUCCUUUUCUUUUGUGGGAAGCACAAGGGUAUUUUUCACUAAUAUUCAUUUAUAAGAACCUGGUAGAGCUUUGGGAGGUAAACUCAUUGAAAGUGAAGCUCCCUCCUGGAGACUUUAUCUCUCAUACUUGUCCAAACUAAGCCUCUAGCAAUUCAUCAAUUACUGCUUGGGUUUCUUAGCACUGAUUACCAUGGAGGUUCUGUUGGUGGAUUUCUGCUUAGUAAGUUGUGUUUUUCUCUAUUUAACUGUGGAUGUCUUCAACUUUAGGGGCUGAGGUUUGUCCUUAUAACCUUACUUCUCUAUGGAUCUAAGAGGAGUUUCAAAUUUAGGUUUUUAAUACCAUUUUCCAAUAAAAGAAGGCAGAGGUCCUCAGAGAAAUGGAUGACACUAGAACUGGGGCAUCAAAAUACAAAACUAGAUAAAAUUAAAGUGCCAGAAAGAAAGAAAGUGUCCAACAAAAUAAAACCCACCAAGAUGGGAUUUUGUCAAAGAAAAGAAAGCUACUGGCAAGAUUCCCCAAUGGCUAAAGCAGGAACAAUAGAAA